ensembl:snoRNA SNORA79 Small nucleolar RNA SNORA79
UGACGACUGUUCCUCCUGCUGCUGUGAGGUCUAGCUCGUCAGGAUUUUAGGUCGUCACAGAUUAAAGAGCCCCUCUAACCCAGUGUGUGAGGCAGUGGGGCUGUCGUCUGUACACUCUGGAUACGACGGGGCUCGACACGU